AACGAACGCUGGCGGCGUGCCUAACACAUGCAAGUCGAGCGCGAAAAGGGCAACCUGAGUAGAGCGGCGCACGGGUGCGUAACACGUGGGUAAUCUGCCUUAGAGUCGAGGAUAACCUUCCGAAAGGUUGGCUAAUACUCGGUAAGCUUACGGUGUCUUCGGACGCUGUGGGAAAAGUAGGCCUCUGUUUACAAGCUUACGCUCUGAGAUGAGCCCGCGGCCCAUCAGCUAGUUGGCGGUGUAACGGACCACCAAGGCAACGACGGGUAGCUGGUCUGAGAGGACGAUCAGCCACAGUGGAACGGAGACACGGUCCAGAAUCCUACGGGGGGCAGCAGUGGGGAAUUUUCCACAAUGGGCGAAAGCCUGAUGGAGCAACGCCGCGUGUGUGAUGAAGGUUUUCGGAUCGUAAAGCACUUUCGACUGGGACGAAAAACCUUUGGCUAACAUCCAGGGGCCUGACGGUACCAGGAGAAGGAGCACCGGCUAACUCUGUGCCAGCAGCCGCCGUAACAC
rnacentral:rRNA from 1 species